rnacentral:rRNA from 1 species
AUGGAAACACUGGGGCAAGCAUUUCAGCUUCGAGAAACUGCUCCAGUAGAUUUACCCUCUGCGGAAAAAGGCAUACCUACUAUUUCGGGCAAACCGAAAAGUGAGUCCAAGGACAAAGAGAAAAAACAUAAAAAGCACAAAGACAAAGAUAAAGACAGGGAGCAUAAGAAGCACAAACAUCGACAUAAGGAUCGGUCUAAAGACAAAGACAAGGACAAGGAUAAGAAAAAGGAUAAGCAUCAUGAGAAGAAGAGGAAGCAUGAGGGGACAGAGGAUUCGGCAGACGUGCAUAAGCACAAAAAAAGCAAGCAUAAGAGUUCCAAAACCGAUGAGAUGGGUAAUGGACUUAGUUAG